CAGUAGCCGCGGUAAUACAGAGGCCUCAAGCGUUGUUCGGAUUCAUUGGGCGUAAAGGGUGCGUAGGUGGCUUGGUAAGUUGAAGGUGAAAUCUCGGGGCUUAACCCCGAAACUGCCUUCAAUACUGCUAGGCUCGAGGACUGUAGAGGAGAAUGGAAUUCACGGUGUAGCAGUGAAAUGCGUAGAUAUCGUGAGGAAGACCAGUGGCGAAGGCGAUUCUCUGGGCAGUUCCUGACACUGAGGCACGAAGGCCAGGGGAGCAAACGGGAUUAGAGACCCCUGUAGUCCCUGUCUCUUAUAC
rnacentral:rRNA from 1 species